CUGAAAGGUGGCAGGUCUCGCCUGGUUCAACCUGCAGGUGAGACACCAGUCACCAUGAGGAGUCUCAUUGUAGUGGUCUGUCCCUCUGAGGAUCAUGGUAAAGUACACGGUCACACAGAAUGGGACAGGACAUCACUGAUGGCUCUCUGUCCCUCUGGGCUGAUGCGCAACUAACAGUCUCUGAUGUGUGUCUGGUUAAGUAGGCUACAUCCCCAUCUACAGACAAUCUCCAAUGGAUUCAGAGUCUGCGGAUGGUAGCACACACAUACAUAUUUAGACAGCCGUUACACACACACACACAUACUGACCAUAGAUCACAUUUUGACAGCAGUUACACACACACACACACUGACCAUGGAUCACAUUUAGACAGCAGUUAACACACACACACACUGACCAUGGAUCACAUUUAGACAGCAGUCUCACACACACUGACCAUGGAUCACAUUUAGACAGCAGUCUCACACACACACACACACACACACACACACACACACACACACACACACACACACACACACACACACUGACCAUAGAUGACAUUUAGCCAGCAGUUAACACACACACUGAACCUGAUCACAUUUAGACAGCAGUUACAUACACACACACUGACCAUGGAUCACAUUUAGACAGCAGUUAACACACACACACACACACACUGACCAUAGAUCACAUUUAGACAGCAGUUACACACACACUGACCAUGAUCACAUUUAGACAGCAGUUACAUACACACACACUGACCAUGGAUCACAUUUAGACAGCAGUUACACACACACACACAGACCAUGGAUCACAUUUAGACAGCAGUCACACACACACACACACACACACACACACACACACACACACUGACCAUAGAUUACAUUUAGCCAGCAGUUAACACACACUGACCAUGGCUCACAUUUAGCCAGCAGUUACACACAUACACUGACCAUGGAUCACAUUUAGCCAGCAGUUACACACACACUGACCAUGGAUCACAUUUACACAGCAGUUAACACACACACUGACCAUGGAUCACAUUUAGACAGCAGUUAACACACACACACACUGACCAUAGAUCACAUUUAGACAGCAGUUACACACACAGACAUGCUGGCCAUGGAUCACAUUUAGACAGCAGUUACACACACACGGACCAUAGAUCACAUUCAGACAGCAGUUACACACACGCGCACACUGACCAUAGAUCACAUUUAGACAGCAGUUACACACACACCCACUGACCAUGGAUCACAUUUAGACAGCAGUUACACACACACACAUGCUGGCCAUGGAUCACAUUUAGACAGCAGUUGCACACACACUGAACAUGGAUCACAUUCAGACAGCAGUUACACACACACACACUGACCAUGGAUCACAUUUAGACAGCAGUUACACACACACACAUGCUGACCAUGGAUCACAUUUAGCCAGCAGUUAACACACACUGACCAUGGCUCACAUUUAGCCAGCAGUUACACACACACACACACACACACACACUGACCAUGGAUCACAUUUAGACAGCAGUUACACACACACUGACCAUGGAUCACAUUUAGCCAGCACUUAACACACACACUGAACCUGAUCACAUUUAGACAACAGUUACAUACACACACACAGACCAUGGAUCACAUUUAGACAGCAGUUACACACACACACACACACACACACUGACCAUAGAUCACAUUUAGACAACAGUCACACACACACACAUACACUGACCAUGGAUCACAUUUAGACAGCAGUUACACACACACUGACCAUGGAUUACAUUUAGCCAGCAGUUAACACACACUGACCAUGGCUCACAUUUAGCCAGCAGUUACACACACACACUGACCAUGGAUCACAUUUAGACAGCAGUUACACACACACUGACCAUGAUCACAUUUAGACAGCAGUUAACACACACACACACACUGACCAUAGAUCACAUUUAGACAGCAGUUACACACACACAUGCUGGCCAUGGAUCACAUUUAGACAGCAGUUACACACACACUGACCAUAGAUCACAUUUAGACAGCAGUUAACACACACACACACACUGACCACGGAUCACAUUUAGACAGCAGUUACACACACACACACACUGACCAUAGAUCACAUUUAGAUAGCAGUUAACACACACACACACACGGACCAUAGAUCACAUUUAGACAGCAGUUACACAUACACACACACACACACACGCUGACCAUGGAUCACAUUUAGACAGCCGUUACACACACACACACACACACACUGACCAUAGAUCACAUUUAGACAGCAGUUAACACACACACACACACACACACUGACCAUAGAUCACAUUUAGACAGCAGUUACAUACACACACACUGACCAUGGAUCACAUUUAGACAGCAGUUAACACACACUGACCAUAGAUCACAUUUAGACAGCAGUCACACACAUACACACACACUGACCAUGAUCACAUUUAGACAGCAGUUACAUACACACACACUGACCAUGGAUCACAUUUAGACAGCAGUUACACACACAC